rnacentral:rRNA from 1 species
UACGGAGGGGGCGAGCGUUAUUCGGAAUUAUUGGGCGUAAAGGGCGCGUAGGCGGCCACUUAAGUCGGAUGUGAAAGCCCCUGGCUCAACUGGGGAAGUGCACCCGAAACUGAAUGGCUUGAAUACAAAAGAGGGCCGCGGAAUUCCCGGUGUAGUGGUGGAAUGCGUAGAUAUCGGGAGGAACACCAGUGGCGAAGGCGGUUGCCUGGAGCUUUGCUGACGCUGAGGCGCGAAAGCGUGGGGAGCGAUCCGG